CGCUAGUGCUGUCACAUUGCCUAAGGAAAACACCACCAGUCAACCUCUCCAUGAAAUACACAGCUUGGUGUUCACUAUUUCAUCUCAAUCUCCACCACAGACUUUUUGCCAGACUGCAG
rnacentral:lncRNA from 12 species